rnacentral:rRNA from 1 species
GAUGAACGCUAGCGGCAGGCUUAACACAUGCAAGUCGAGGGGUAGAGGAAGCUUGCUUCCUUGAGACCGGCGCACGGUGCGUAACGCGUAUGCAAUCUACCUUAUACAGGGGGAUAGCCCAGAGAAAUUUGGAUUAAUACCCCAUAGUAUAAUUGAAUGGCAUCAUUUGAUUAUUAAAAGUUCCAACGGUAUAAGAUGAGCAUGCGUCCCAUUAGCUAGUUGGUGUGGUAACGGCACACCAAGGCGACGAUGGGUAGGGGUCCUGAGAGGGAGAUCCCCCACACUGGUACUGAGACACGGACCAGACUCCUACGGGAGGCAGCAGUGAGGAAUAUUGGGUCAAUGGGCGCAAGCCUGAACCAGCCAUGCCGCGUGCAGGAUGACGGUCCUAUGGAUUGUAAACUGCUUUUGUACAGGAAGAAACACUCCCUCGUGAGGGAGCUUGACGGUACUGUAAGAAUAAGGAUCGGCUAACUCCGUGCCAGCAGCCGCGGUAAU